AUUGAACGCUGGCGGCAGGCUUAACACAUGCAAGUCGAACGAGUGGCGGACGGGUGAGUAAUGUCUGGGAAACUGCCUGAUGGAGGGGGGUCAAUACUGGAAACGGUAGCUAAUACCGCAUACCCUCGGAUGUGCCCAUAGGGGAUUAGCUAGUAGGUGGGGUAACGGCUCACCUAGGCGACGAUCCCUAGCUGGUCUGAGAGGAUGACCAGCCAAACUGGAACUGAGACACGGGCCAGACGCCAACGGGAGGCAGCAGUGGGGAAUAUUGAACAAUGGGCGCAAGCCUGAUGCAGCCAUGCCGCGUGUAGGAAGAAGGCCUUCGGGUUGUAAAGUACUUUCAGCGGGGAGGCGUUACCCGCAGAAGAAGCACCGGCUAACUCCGUGCCAGCAGCCGCGGUAAUAC
rnacentral:rRNA from 1 species